rnacentral:rRNA from 1 species
UUAACACAUGCAAGUCGAGGGGAAACGACAUCGAAAGCUUGCUUUUGAUGGGCGUCGACCGGCGCACGGGUGAGUAACGCGUAUCCAACCUGCCCACCACUUGGGGAUAACCUUGCGAAAGUAAGACUAAUACCCAAUGAUAUCUCUAGAAGACAUCUGAAGGAGAUUAAAGAUUUAUCGGUGAUGGAUGGGGAUGCGUCUGAUUAGCUUGUUGGCGGGGUAACGGCCCACCAAGGCAACGAUCAGUAGGGGUUCUGAGAGGAAGGUCCCCCACAUUGGAACUGAGACACGGUCCAAACUCCUACGGGAGGCAGCAGUGAGGAAUAUUGGUCAAUGGACGAGAGUCUGAACCAGCCAAGUAGCGUGCAGGAUGACGGCCCUAUGGGUUGUAAACUGCUUUUAUAAGGGAAUAAAGUGAGUCUCGUGAGACUUUUUGCAUGUACCUUAUGAAUAAGGACCGGCUAAUUCCGUGCCAGCAGCCGCGGUAAUACGGAAGGUCCGGGCGUUAUCCGGAUUUAUUGGGUUUAAAGGGAGCGUAGGCCGGAGAUUAAGCGUGUUGUGAAAUGUAGACGCUCAACGUCUGCACUGCAGCGCGAACUGGUUUCCUUGAGUACGCACAAAGUGGGCGGAAUUCGUGGUGUAGCGGUGAAAUGCUUAGAUAUCACGAAGAACUCCGAUUGCGAAGGCAGCUCACUGGAGCGCAACUGACGCUGAAGCUCGAAAGUGCGGGUAUCGAACAGGAUUAGAUACCCUGGUAGUCCGCACGGUAAACGAUGGAUGCCCGCUGUUGGUCUGAAUAGGUCAGCGGCCAAGCGAAAGCAUUAAGCAUCCCACCUGGGGAGUACGCCGGCAACGGUGCAACUCAAAUGAAUUG